AACGAACGCUGGCGGCGCGCCUAAUACAUGCAAGUCGAGCGAGAAGGUGUAGCAAUACACUUGUAAAGCGGCGAACGGGUGAGGAAUGCAUGGGUAACCUACCCUCGAGUGGGGAAUAACUAGCCGAAAGGUUAGCUAAUACCGCAUACGUUUCCGGAACUUCGGUUUCGGAAAGAAAGCAAUACCGUGGGUAUUGCGCUCCUGGAUGGGCUCAUGUCCUAUCAGCUUGUUGGUGAGGUAACGGCUCACCAAGGCUUCGACGGGUAGCUGGUCUGAGAGGACGAUCAGCCACACUGGCACUGCGACACGGGCCAGACUCCUACGGAGGCAGCAGUAAGGAAUAUUGCGCAAUGGACGAAAGUCUGACGCAGCGACGCCGCGU
rnacentral:rRNA from 1 species